GCAUUAGUGGGGUAGUGGUAACCUGGGUCGUUGCCAUGCAGCAUUGCGUUGAAAUUCGACCCGCCGGGAGUUCGAUUCUCUCCUAAUGCA